UCCCCCCAGCCUGCCCACCCCCCCUCAACCACACCGUCGUACAAGUGAACAAAAACGCCAACCCAGACCCACUGCCAAAAAAAGAGGAAGAGAAGAAGGAGGAGGAGGAAGACGACCGUGGGGAAGACGGCCCUAAGCCAAUGCCUCCCUAUAGCUCCAUGUUCAUCCUGUCCACGACCAACCCCCUUCGCCGCCUGUGCCAUUACAUCCUGAACCUGCGCUACUUUGAGAUGUGCAUCCUCAUGGUCAUUGCCAUGAGCAGCAUCGCCCUGGCCGCCGAGGACCCUGUGCAGCCCAACGCACCUCGGAACAACGUGCUGCGAUAUUUUGACUACGUUUUUACAGGCGUCUUUACCUUUGAGAUGGUGAUCAAGAUGAUUGACCUGGGGCUCGUCCUGCAUCAGGGUGCCUACUUCCGUGACCUCUGGAAUAUUCUCGACUUCAUAGUGGUCAGUGGGGCCCUGGUAGCCUUUGCCUUCACUGGCAAUAGCAAAGGAAAAGACAUCAACACGAUUAAAUCCCUCCGAGUCCUCCGGGUGCUACGACCUCUUAAAACCAUCAAGCGGCUGCCAAAGCUCAAGGCUGUGUUUGACUGUGUGGUGAACUCACUUAAAAACGUCUUCAACAUCCUCAUCGUCUACAUGCUAUUCAUGUUCAUCUUCGCCGUGGUGGCUGUGCAGCUCUUCAAGGGGAAAUUCUUCCACUGCACUGACGAGUCCAAAGAGUUUGAGAAAGAUUGUCGAGGCAAAUACCUCCUCUACGAGAAGAAUGAGGUGAAGGCGCGAGAUCGGGAGUGGAAGAAGUAUGAAUUCCAUUACGACAAUGUGCUGUGGGCUCUGCUGACCCUCUUCACCGUGUCCACGGGAGAAGGCUGGCCACAGGUCCUCAAGCAUUCGGUGGACGCCACCUUUGAGAACCAGGGCCCCAGCCCCGGGUACCGCAUGGAGAUGUCCAUUUUCUACGUCGUCUACUUUGUGGUGUUCCCCUUCUUCUUUGUCAAUAUCUUUGUGGCCUUGAUCAUCAUCACCUUCCAGGAGCAAGGGGACAAGAUGAUGGAGGAAUACAGCCUGGAGAAAAAUGAGAGGGCCUGCAUUGAUUUCGCCAUCAGCGCCAAGCCGCUGACCCGACACAUGCCGCAGAACAAGCAGAGCUUCCAGUACCGCAUGUGGCAGUUCGUGGUGUCUCCGCCUUUCGAGUACACGAUCAUGGCCAUGAUCGCCCUCAACACCAUCGUGCUUAUGAUGAAGUUCUAUGGGGCUUCAGUUGCUUAUGAAAAUGCCCUGAGGGUGUUCAACAUCGUCUUCACCUCCCUCUUCUCUCUGGAAUGUGUGCUGAAAGUCAUGGCUUUUGGGAUUCUGGUAAGUACCACCUUGGGGCUACAGCUAUGGGCUUGGGAGAAGCCCAAGGGGGAACAAUGGGUCCUGGAUGAUGGUCUCCCAACGUGGCCCCAAGAACCCCAACCUCAAGGGUGGCUUCAGUAUCCUGCCAGUGGCCACAGAUCCUACUUAGGCAUUCUUGUGUUUGCCAAGGAGUCCCAGGGAGACCCAACCUGUGAGUGUUACCAUAUGGCUGCUUAUGUAUCCAGUUCCUCAAAAUGAUGGGAGUCAUCAUGGCUGGGAGUCUUUAGCAUCCAUUUUAGAGAUAAGAAAACUGAAAUCAGGCUGGGCGAGGUGUCUCGUGGCUGUAAUUCCAGCACUUUGGGAGGCCAAGGUGGGCGGAUCACCUGAGGUCGGGAGUUCGAGACCAGCCUGACCAACAUGGAGAAACUCUGUCUCUACUAAAAAUACAAAAUUAGCCGGGCGUGGUGGCGCAUGCCUGUAAUCCCAGCUACU
rnacentral:sRNA from 1 species